CUUGCGACUGCCACGGGAUUUCUCAAUUAAAAUUCAAAUUGAUGCAAACAAGUGGCCAAGCCCAACUUGCAACUACAAUAGAAACAACAAUUUCAAGUAAUAAAUGAUUGUUGUAUCAUUUCGCGUUAAAUUAUAUUAAGUUUGGUAGCCGCAGCGGUUAAGUCAAGCAAAGCGAAUUCGCAUGUGGCGGUAUGUGUUUAAUUUAAAGCAAUAAUAAUAUACAUAGUAAACAGUUAGCCAUUAUGCGCCAACUCAAAACAUUGUGACCAGCAUUCAAUAAAAAAUAUGAAUGGAUUUGCGAAAAAAUUGGUAAUAAUAAUAAAUGUGAUUGCUAACAAGAUAGUGGAAAAGCAUAAAAAAUGAAAAUUAUGCCAUUCAAUUGGAUAGAAGAUAAAUGCUAGCAGGCGCUAAUAUUAAGAGUACAAGCAAAAAAAUCCAAAAACAAAAUUACAACAUCUCAUUGGUAUAAACCGCAAGACGCUGAUGCUCUGAGUAAACAAGCACAUGCGUUGGCGGAGACCAAGAGAAGGAUACUUGGCUUCAAAAUUUAUUGUACAGAAAAUCACUGCUGGAUAUUGUGGCUAAAGGAGCAAGUGCGAUGUGCAUCAGUAUCAUCGCGGGAAAUAUCUGGAUAUUUGCGCUAGAAAAUUGUGACAACUAUUGAUUUUAAUUUCGCCUUAUCACUGGAAAGCCGCUUCAUUUGAGUGUUAGCUUUUGCGAAAUAUUCUAGAAUAACAAAUUGAGAGAAGCCAUAUGAUAUAUAAGACGUCGAAUGUAGCCGAAAUUAUCCUACUUUGAUAGAUUUAAAAAAAGGAUUUCUGUGCUGAAAGAGACGACAAUAAACAACAACUUAAAUGCUCAUGACUUGAUUACAUAAUAUUAUAUAAUAAUUAAACAUUAAUUUUACUUAUCAGAAAAUUUAAAAAUAACGCAAGCAGAAAAAUUACACGUUUGCCAACACUGGAAACAAAAUCCACAAUCGCGUGUGUGAGAACGAAAUACAUGAGAUCAAACUAGCAAUCAGGCGAGCAUGAAUAAAAGCAGGCAAUUAUUGAUCCUCUUUUUGAUGCUCUUCAUUCAUAUAAUUAUAUGCAUGUAUGGGCACCUGUUAGCUAUCGGUCAAGCAAAAGUGGCUAUGAGCAGCAUUGAGAGAGCUUAACGGACAAUGUGUUCGUCGCGCAAAUUAAAAACAAAAAUGAUGUAAUUUACCAAGCACAACUCUACGUUUCAAAUGUCAAGUCAUACUCAAAUAACAACAAAUAAUAAUAGUUAGUACGGAAAGUUUUAUGUGAAAUGUCCAAACAAUGAAUGAGUUGCAGUAUCAAUUUUCUUUCGCCGUCAUUUGAUUUUUGCUGGUCGCCUGGUAUAAGAUUGCUUAAAGUAUAUGGAGUCUUUGCUUAUUUUGCUUAGAACAAAAACUGCAAAGUUCAAGUGUGUCGGUUAUGUUCUACCAGGCGAACAUGAAUGGAAAUAAGAUAAGUUCGAUAUUCUAAGAGUAAAGGUUUCAGCAAUGGUUUGGAACAAUAAAUAUUAUUUAUAUUUAUUAAUAUUUCCAUAUUUAUGUAUUUAGUAUUCAGUUAUAUACAAAAUUAUUAUACUCAUGGUAAAAAUCAUACGUAAAUAAAUAAAGAAAAAA